AUUGAACGCUGGCGGCAGGCCUAACACAUGCAAGUCGAACGAGUGGCGGACGGGUGAGUAAUGUCUGGGAAACUGCCUGAUGGAGGGGGAUAACUACUGGAAACAGUAGCUAAUACCGCAUACCAUCGGAUGUGCCCAGAUGGGAUUAGCUAGUAGGUGGGGUAAAGGCUCACCUAGGCGACGAUCCCUAGCUGGUCUGCGAGGAUGACCAGCCACACUGGAACGGAGACACGGCCCAGACUCCUACGGGAGGCAGCAGUGGGGAAUCUUGCACAAUGGGGGCAAGCCUGAUGCAGCCAUGCCGCGUGUAUGAAGAAGGCCUUCGGGUUGUAAAGUACUUGUAGCGGGGAGGCGUUACCCGCAGAAGAAGCACCGGCUAACUCCGUGCCAGCAGCCGCGGUAAUUC
rnacentral:rRNA from 1 species